GUGGGGAAUAUUGGACAAUGGGCGAAAGCCUGAUCCAGCCAUGCCGCGUGUGUGAAGAAGGUCUUCGGAUUGUAAAGCACUUUAAGUUGGGAGGAAGGGCAGUAAGUUAAUACCUUGCUGUUUUGACGUUACCGACAGAAUAAGCACCGGCUAACUUCGUGCCAGCAGCCGCGGUAAUACGAAGGGUGCAAGCGUUAAUCGGAAUUACUGGGCGUAAAGCGCGCGUAGGUGGUUUUGUAAGUUGGAGGUGAAAUCCCCGGGCUCAACCUGGGAACUGCCUCCAAAACUGCAUGACUAGAGUACGGUAGAUGGUAGUGGAAUUUCCUGUGUAGCGGUGAAAUGCGUAGAUAUAGGAAGGAACACCAGUGGCGAAGGCGACUACCUGGACUGAUACUGACACUGAGGUGCGAAAGCGUGGGGAGCAAACAGGAUUAGAAACCCGGGUAGUCC
rnacentral:rRNA from 1 species